rnacentral:rRNA from 1 species
UACGUAGGGGGCAAGCGUUGUCCGGAAUCAUUGGGCGUAAAGCGCGUGUAGGCGGCCAGAAAAGUCCGCUGUGAAAACCCGGGGCUCAACUCCGGGCCUGCAGCCGAUACGGGCAGACUAGAGUUCGGCAGGGGAGACUGGAAUUCCUGGUGUAGCGGUGAAAUGCGCAGAUAUCAGGAGGAACACCGGUGGCGAAGGCGGGUCUCUGGGCCGAUACUGACGCUGAGGAGCGAAAGCGUGGGGAGCGAACAGG